rnacentral:rRNA from 1 species
GAUGAACGCUAGCGAUAGGCCUAACACAUGCAAGUCGAGGGGCAGCACAUGAAGUAGCAAUACGGAUGGUGGCGACCGGCGCACGGGUGAGUAACGCGUAUGCAACCUGCCUACAACAGGGGAAUAACCCGUUGAAAGACGGACUAAUACCCCCAUAACACAGGGAUCCCGCAUGGGAAUAUUUGUUAAAGAUUUAUCGGUUGUAGAUGGGCAUGCGUUCCAUUAGCUUGUUGGUGAGGUAACGGCUCACCAAGGCAACGAUGGAUAGGGGAACUGAGAGGUUUAUCCCCCACACUGGUACUGAGACACGGACCAGACUCCUACGGGAGGCAGCAGUGAGGAAUAUUGGUCAAUGGACGCAAGUCUGAACCAGCCACGUCGCGUGAAGGAAGACGGCCCUACGGGUUGUAAACUUCUUUUGUAAGGGAAUAAAGUGUAGUACGUGUACUAUUUUGCAUGUACCUUACGAAUAAGGAUUGGCUAACUCCGUGCCAGCAGCCGCGGUAAUACGGAGGAUCCGAGCGUUAUCCGGAUUUAUUGGGUUUAAAGGGUGCGCAGGCGGGAGAUUAAGUCGGCGGUGAAAUUUUGCAGCUCAACUGUAAAAGUGCCUUCGAAACUGGUUUCCUUGAGUGUGGAUGAAGUAGGCGGAAUUUGUGGUGUAGCGGUGAAAUGCAUAGAUAUCACGAGGAACUCCGAUUGCGCAGGCAGCUUACUAAACCAUAACUGACGCUCAGGCACGAAGGCGUGGGGAUCAAACA